UACAGAAAGAUCCAGAAGGAGAGACGACGCUCUUAUUCCAGGUAGAGUACAGAAAGAUCCAGAAGGAGAGACGACGCUCUUAUUCCAGGUAUAAUACUCAUAUAAUACAGAAAGAUCCAGAAGGAGAGACGACGCUCUUAUUCCAGGUAUAAUACUCAUAUAAUACAGAAAGAUCCAGAAGGAGAGGAGACCCUCUUAUUCCAGGUAUAAUACUCAUAUAAUACAGAAGGAGAGGAGACUCUCUUAUUCCAGGUAUAAUACUCAUAUAAUACAGACGGAGAGGAGACUCUCUUAUUCCAGGUAUAAUACUCAUAUAAUACAGAAGGAGAGGAGACUCUCUUAUUCCAGGUAUAAUACUCAUAUAAUACAGAAGGAGAGGAGACUCUCUUAUUCCAGGUAUAAUACUCAUAUAGUACAGAAGGAGAGGAGACUCUUAUUCCAGGUAUAAUACUCAUAUAAUACAGGAGAGGAGACUCUCUUAUUCCAGGUAUAAUACUCAUAUAAUAGAGAAGGAGAGGAGACCUCUUAUUCCAGGUAUAAUACUCAUAUAAUACAGAAGGAGAGGAGACUCUCUUAUUCCAGGUAUAAUACUCAUAUAAUACAGAAGGAGAGGAGACUCUUAUUCCAGGUAUAAUACUCAUAUAAUACAGAAGGAGAGGAGACUCUUAUUCCAGGUAUAAUACUCAUAUAAUACAGGAGAGGAGACUCUCUUAUUCCAGGUAUAAUACAGAAGGAGAGGAGACCCUCUUAUUCCAGGUAUAAUACUCAUAUAAUACAGGAGAGGAGACUCUCUUAUUCCAGGUAUAAUACUCAUAUAAUACAGAAGGAGAGGAGACUCUCUUAUUCCAGGUAUAAUACUCAUAUAAUACAGAAGGAGAGGAGACUCUCUUAUUCCAGGUAUAAUACUCAUAUAAUACAGAAGGAGAGGAGACCCUCUUAUUCCAGGUAUAAUACUCAUAUAAUAGAGAAGGAGAGGAGACCCUCUUAUUCCAGGUAUAAUACUCAUAUAGUACAGAAGGAGAGGAGACUCUCUUAUUCCAGGUAUAAUACUCAUAUAAUACAGAAGGAGAGGAGACUCUCUUAUUCCAGGUAUAAUACUCAUAUAAUACAGAAAGAUCCAGAAGGAGAGGAGACCCUCUUAUUCCAGGUAUAAUACUCAUAUAGUACCCAUGCAUUAUUCACAUAGUACUAAUAACUGUAAUACAAUACUCCUACAAUACUCGUAUAAUAGUAUUCUAUACCUGCGUAGUAGUAUUCUAUACUUGCAAAAUAGUAUUCUUUACUCAUAUAAUAGUAUUCUAUACUACUAACACUUAAUCUCUCCCCCAUCUCUCUCUCUCUCUGUCUCUCUCUCUCUCUCUCUCU